AUUGCAACUAACAACCCAUUAAAGACAGCGCAGGGGGAACCGGAUUCUCUCCUGCAAAGCGACAUAAAUCCAGCGAAAACCCAUUAAACCACCACCGCCGCCACCAAGCAACGCAGCACUACACACCACAGCAAACAACAGUGAAGGCGAUGGUUACUGCUGUCAAUCUUGGCAAUCAAUGUGAGCGGCCAUGUCGUAAGUAUUCAAAGCAUUUCCCGUCGUGCAACAUCAGAAAGUGAGUGGCCAGGGCAUUGAUCUGAGGAAGGCAGAAGGAGGCAGGGCUCCCCCGCCCAGACAGCACAGGCAAGAUGAGACAACACAGAGAGAGAGAGGGAGAGGAAAGGCUGAGAGGGAGAGGGAGCCUGGGAGCGAGCGAGCGGGGAAAGCAACAACUGCAGAGAAAGUGAGCACAAAACAGAAAGUGAAAUCACCCCGGGCUGCCAGCCGCAUCCCCGAGAAGCUAUCACCACUCACAUUGCUAUUAGACAAAUGAAACCUUAAACCUCUCUCCUCUAAUGACCACUGAUUGCCCGGAGUGGUGAGGAAAGGCUAGAGACAGGCACAGCAGCCAGCGCAGGCAGAUGCUGGGAAGGGAUGCUGGGCUGCUCUGCGUCCUCGCAGAGGGAAGGAAUCAACCUCUCGGUUCACGUCGGGGCACUUACCUGCUCACAGCUGGCAGCGCAUUUUGCGCCGUCUCUUUCAUUAAACACACAAAAGUAAAGCAACGCUCAACAAGCAAAGCAACCUGUCUGUGUGUUGAGUUUUAGCGCAUCUUUGAUAAGACGAGCAAACCCACAACUCCUGUGGAGUUGGUAGAACAGCGUCUGAAGUUUUGAUUCAAAGGGCGAGAAAUUCCGCCUUAAAAGUCAUACGCCCCAUUCUAAACUCCCCUCUAUCCCCAGUAAAUGCCGGACAAUUAACAGGCAUAUUUCAAAGUUCCCUCUGCUGAUACUCUCCGACAAUGAAGGCUUUUUACAGGCUUGUUAAAGAUGUUCAGAGAAAGUUUUGCAAGAUAAUCAACAGCAUCUGAGAGAAAGCUGAAGGAGAAGAAGUUAAAGUCUGCUCAUCGACUGGGAGAAAGUUUUGUUAGACAAGAUAAAAGCAUAUCCCUGCAGUGUUCUUCAUAAGCAACACCAUCAGCUGAUGUGAGUUCCCCUAGAACAAGCACCUCUGGCGAUCUUCUCAAAAUUUAGGGGACGUUUGCAUUUUGUAACGCCCAAAGCUAAGGAUCUGACUGACAAAAAAGAACAAACCAAAAACCUCUGCACUCUUUAGAGCGUCAUCUGCCAACACAAUGUAUUGUCCUGGCAGAAGCAGGAACAAGAAGGUUUUAAUUUCACUUGAAACUGUGCAUCACCCUGACGGUGAAGGAAAAAGCCGCAGCAACAAUCUCCCCACUUCAUACCC
rnacentral:lncRNA from 1 species